rnacentral:rRNA from 1 species
AGCGAACGCUGGCGGCGUGCCUAACACAUGCAAGUCGAACGUGAAAAGGGAAACCUGAGUAAAGUGGCGUACGGGUGAGUCACGCGUAGGUAAUCUACCCCAGAAUCUGGAAUAACCUGCCGAAAGGCGGGCUAAUACUGGAUAGAGCGAGGGAACUCGUAAGAGAGUUUUUCGGGAAAGGGAGCCCGCAAGGGCCUUCGUUCUGGGAUGAGCCUGCGUCUCAUUAGCUAGUUGGUAAGGUAACGGCUUACCAAGGCGAUGAUGAGUAGCUGGUCUGAGAGGAUGAGCAGCCACACUGGAACUGAAACACGGUCCAGACUCCUACGGGAGGCAGCAGUGGGGAAUCUUGCGCAAUGGACGAAAGUCUGACGCAGCCACGCCGCGUGAGUGAAGAAGGCCUUCGGGUUGUAAAGCUCUGUCGGAUGGGACGAACAUCUUCAUAGUGAAUAGCUAUGAGGACUGACGGUACCAUCAAAGGAAGCACCGGCUAACUCCGUG